GCCGUAGUGGCGGAAUUGGUAGACGCACUAGCUUCAGGUGCUAGCGAUCGUAAGGUCAUAAGAGUUCAAAUCUCUUCUACGGCA
rnacentral:tRNA from 1 species